AGCCGGACAUGCUGACUGUUCUAGAAACAUGCAGAGCGCAAUUGGGGAGCUGAUGCCAGCAUCUGGGAGGAGCUUGCAGAGCAUCACACCCUCUGGUAGGGUUCAAGGAACAGUAUCUUCACCAAGGGUUGUCAUGAAAAUUAAGAGAAGGUGCUCUUGUCCACACCCAACAUUAUAGAAGAGAAUGUGCUCAUAAUUACUUUGUCAAACCCUGGAUUCAGAAAGUCACUGCCUUGAAACUAUCCAGGAGGCCAACAUCUCCCAGUCCCUAUAAGGCUUGGGCCACCCUUUAAGGUUACUGAUGGCAAAAAUCUGCUCCUAUCUACAAUCUGAGCUGGACAUGACAUCUGGCUGCCUAAGCAUCUACAUCUGUGACCUCAAAAGUCCUGACUAUCUCUGAAGUUCUUCUUUCUCAACUGUUGCUGGGCCCAGCAUAUACCACUAUCCUAUUUGAUGUCUG
rnacentral:lncRNA from 1 species